rnacentral:rRNA from 1 species
AUUGAACGCUGGCGGCAUGCCUUACACAUGCAAGUCGAACGGUAACAGGUUAAGCUGACGAGUGGCGAACGGGUGAGUAAUGUAUCGGAACGUGCCCAGUCGUGGGGGAUAACUGCUCGAAAGAGCAGCUAAUACCGCAUACGACCUGAGGGUGAAAGCGGGGGAUCGCAAGACCUCGCGCGAUUGGAGCGGCCGAUAUCAGAUUAGGGAGUUGGUGGGGUAAAGGCCUACCAAGCCGACGAUCUGUAGCUGGUCUGAGAGGACGACCAGCCACACUGGGACUGAGACACGGCCCAGACUCCUACGGGAGGAAGCAGUGGGGAAUUUUGGACAAUGGACGCAAGUCUGAUCCAGCCAUGCCGCGUGCGGGAAGAAGGCCUUCGGGUGGUAAACCGCUUUUUUCAGGGAAGAAACGCUCUGGGUUAAUACCUCGGGGUAAUGACGGUACCUGAAGAAUAAGCACCGGCUAACUACGUGCCAGCCGCCGCCGUAA